rnacentral:rRNA from 1 species
UGGCGAACGGGUGAGUAACACGUGGGUGAUCUGCCUUGCACUCUGGGAUAAGCUUGGGAAACUGGGUCUAAUACCGGAUAGGACAGCUGUUUAGUGUCAGUUGUGGAAAGUUUUUUCGGUGCAAGAUGAGCUCGCGGCCUAUCAGCUUGUUGGUGGGGUAAUGGCCUACCAAGGCGUCGACGGGUAGCCGGCCUGAGAGGGUGGACGGCCACAUUGGGACUGAGAUACGGCCCAG